AUGCAUCUAUUUGGCAGAUCUGGAGUAGUUUCUGCUGCUAAGGUUUCCACUACAGAUGCAAGAAAAAAAUGUCCUCGCACUUUCUGUCUGUCUGAUUGUGGCAGCCAAAAUUGAAUAGAGAAAUAUAGGG
rnacentral:snoRNA from 1 species